rnacentral:tRNA from 1 species
GCAUUGGUGGUUCAGUGGUAGAAUUCUUGCCUUCCAUGCAGGAGACUUGGGUUCCAUUCCCGGCCAAUGAA